CCUGCUUCUCCCCUGAUCAGGCAUAUUAGUAUUUACAGUGCAGAUAGGCACUAACACACAUGCAGAUACAGACAUGUAUACCAACACUGACACAAACAGAUACACAAGCACACAGAAACAAACAUUAACACACACACAGAUACACACAUGCAGAUACACAAACACACAUGACGUUACACAGACAUGCAGAUACAAACACUGCCACACAUGUAGAUGCAUAGACACACAGAUACAAAUACUAACACACAUACAGAUACACAAAAGCAAACCCUUACACACAUCUAGAUACACCCACUGACACAGACACACAGAUACAAACAAUGGCACAAACACAGACAUACCAACAUGCAGAUACUCUCACUGACACACAUACAGAUACAAACACUACAUACAGAUACACAAACACACUGACACACAUGAAGUUACACGGACAUACAGAUACAAACACUGCCACACAUGUAGAUGCAUAGACACACAGAUACAAACACUAACCCAUAUGCGGACACACAGAAGCAAACCCUGACACACAUCUAGAUACACCCACUGACACAGACACACAGAUACAAACAAUGGCACAAACACAGAUAUACCAACAUGCAGAUACUCUCACUGACACACAUACAGAUACAAACACUACAUACAGAUACAGACACACAAAGAAACACAUACUGGUCAAAAUCUAGCCACCUUUCAGUGUUCUACCAUUUGGGUGCAGGAGGGUGGCUUCUGCUGACUGGGGUUGUUGAGAGUUAGGAUCAUGCACUGCCGGUCCAGCCUCCUCCACCCCUGCCCCCCUACCCAUCCAUCUUUCACUCCUGCAUGGCUAAGCCUGUGUUAGCAAGGAGGAAGUGCCAGGCUCUCACUUCCUCUCAGCGCUGCAAAAUAACAGGGGAGCAGUCGCACUGUUAAAGCACUGCAGCGUACGACCAUGCCCAUAUAAACACAUGCCUUAGGCUCAUUAUACUAGAGAAAGUCCUGCUCUUGAAAGUGUAAGUACAUUUCCAUAUAUAUAAUUUAUUUGUACUUAAUUGACUAUUGGAGUAUCUUUCUGUUUCUGUCUUCUAUAUUGCACAAGAGAUCCAACUGGGAGUACUUCUAUCAUCUAGACCAGUGGUCCCUAACCCAGUCCUCAUGGAACACCAACAGUCCAGGUUUUGUCAGCAUCUCCAUUGGAAUAAAAAAGGGAAAUACAUAAGUCCUAGACCGUUGAUGGUCCAUGAGGACUGGGUUGGGAACCACUGAUCUAGACCACCAUGUAUCCUUAGACUGGGAUUAUACCGUUCAUGCUUAAUACACGAACGGUAGCUUUUAGUUAGCUCUAAAAAACAUGAGUGAAUUGCCUACACGAACCUAAAUAAAUUGUACUUAACCUUUAUUGUAUUGUGCUAUCAUUUGUUUCUAUUUUCCUUUUGACGUUAUGAACCUCAGAAUAUCCUGAAAGGAAUAUG